UUUAAUAAAUGUAUCUCAAAUAAGAAGUCCUUCACCAUCUUCACCAUCAAUAGAGACAUAAGCUUGUAAUACUUUUAUGCAAUUUGAAUUUUAUUAUUAAUCUGAUAAAGACUACAGACGCAUGCUUUGAUGCAAAGAUUAUUGUAACCCAUGUGACCGACAUGACCCAAUCACCUUCCCUUUAAGCCCAUCCCUUUAAGUUCAUUGUCAUGUGUGUUUCCGGGUUGGCUGCUGCUCACUGUUGGUUGUCGCGUCCGUUGUUGAUAAAACAACUUGAAGUUAUAAAUCGACUCAUCACUCAUUUAAUCUAAACUCAACUUUGAAGAUUUCUGCUGGAACACCUUCCUGAAUUGAACAAGUUACCAUUGCAUCCACCUCCUCAGACAAUCCGUUACUCGACGGUCAGGUUUUUUUUUCUUCCGGACUCCUGCACGGAUACAUUGGAUGACGGAAGAUGGCGAGCUACCCACCCACCAUCUGGUGGUCAGGUUUUUUUUUCUUCCGGACUCCUGCACGGAUACAUUGGAUGACGGAAGAUGGCGAGCUACCCACCCACCAUCUGGUGGUAGGAAACAGAACUACACUUUCCAUAUAGGAACUGAACAGACUCUAAGGAGUAUCAAAAAAAAAGGGAAAAUAACUAUUCUCCCUUCAUUUUUGGACCUCUUGUGGACUCUAUUAGGUUUUGAAGUGUCACUGACAAGUGUUUUGUUUGUUUUCUAUUUUCCUGUUUUUUGAGAACUUUAUUUAUUUAUUUUU